AGAUGGUUAAAAUUGAAAAGUUGCCUAAACUACAUUAAUGUAAUAAAGUCAGAACUUGAGUGGGUUAUUUUUUUCUUAGUAGUCAUCGAUUGACACAAUUCCUAUUUCCCUUGUCACGAAAGCAACACCCACUGACCAGAAAAUACAAAGACGCGGAGUAAUUUUGGCCAAAUAUCACCUCCGCCAGUACAUGUCAAAAUAAGCAUAAUUAUCCAUCCAUUCCC
rnacentral:lncRNA from 1 species